rnacentral:rRNA from 1 species
CCUGGUUGAUCCUGCCUGUAAUCAUAUGCUUGUCUCAAAUUAAGCCAUGCAUGUCUAAGUACAUGCCGAAAUAAGGCGAAACCGCGAAUGGCUCAUUAAAUCAGUUAUGGUUCCUUAGAUCGUUUCUUCCUACUUGGAUAACUGUGGCAAUUCUAGAGCUAAUACAUGCAGUGAGCCUGGAGCCCUUUGGGUAACGGGUGCUUUUAUUAGACCAAGAUCGAUCGGGUUUCGGCCCGUAUUGUGUGGAGACUCUGGAUAACUUUGUGCUGAUCAUGGCCACGAGCCGGCGACGUUUCUUUCAAGUGUCUGCCUUAUCAACUUUCGAUGGUAGGUUACUUGCUUACCAUGGUUGUUACGGGUAACGGAGAAUCAGGGUUCUAUUCCGGAGAGGGAGCCUGAGAAACGGCUACCACAUCCAAGCCUCCAAGCCGGCCCAAAAAUUACCCCACUCCCCGGCCACGGGGAAAGUGACCGAAAAUAGACCCACCAUCACGGGGACUCUUUUUUGGGGGGGCCCCGUAAUAUGAAAAUGAUACACUCUAAAUCCUUUAACGAGGAUCAAUUGGAGGGCAAUCUGCCAGCAGCCGCGGUAAUUCCAGCUCCAAUAGCGUAUACUAAAGCUGCUGCGGUUAAAAAGCUCGUAGUUGGAUCUCAGUUCCAGACGAGUAGUGCAUCUACCCGAUGCGACGGCUCGGACUGAACAUCAUGCCGGUUCUUUCUUGGUGCACUUCAUUGUGUGCCUCGAUCGGUGCUUUUACUUUGAAAAAAUUAGAGUGCUCAACGCAGGCGAGUCGCCUGAAUAAACUUGCAUGGAAUAAUAGAACAAGACCACCUUCGUUUCUGUUUUCUUUCCGCCGGCUUCCUCCCCCUCCUUCCCUCUCGGGAAAUACGGGUAAUAUUUAAGAGAACCGGACGCAUUCGUAUUGCGGCUAGAGGUGAAAAUUCCCUUGCCGGUCGCAAGACGCCCCCCCCCCCCCCCCUCACCCUCGCGCCGACCCCCCCCCAGAAAGCAUUUGCCAAGAAUGUUUUCAUUGAUCAAGAACGAAAGUCAGAGGUUCGAAGGCGAUCAGAUACCGCCCUAGUUCUGACCAUAAACGAUGCCAACCAGCGACCGCCUCCUUCGCCCUCCUGGCGACCUCUCCACUCUCCCCCCCCACACCCACCUCGCACUCGCCGCGCGCCGCGCGCCGCCCGACCCCCACGCUCCCUCCGCCCCGCGCACACAACAAGAUCUCUUCGCGGAUUUCCGGGGGAAGUAUGGUUGCAAAGCUGAAACUUAAAGGAAUUGACGGAAGGGCACCACCAGGAGUGGAGCCUGCGGCUUAAUUUGACUCAACGGGAACCUUACCCGGCGCUGGGAGGAUUGACAGAUUGAGAGCUCUUUCUUGAUUCGGUGGAUGGUGGUGCAUGGCCGUUCUUAGUUGGUGGAGCGAUUUGUCUGGUUAAUUCCGAUAACGAACGAGACUCUAGCCUAUUAAAUAGGUGCGGGGUUCCCAGCACCUUACAACCUUCUUAGAGGGACAAGCGGCUCCUAGCCGCACGAAACAGAGCAAUAACAGGUCUGUGAUGCCCUUAGAUGUCCGGGGCCACGCGCGUACCACUGAACCACGGAACGCAGCCGUGUCUUUCACUCCCUGUCUGAAAAGACUGCUCCGGUAAACCCCGUGGACUUCUUUCCGUCGACUUGGCGCUAGGGGCUUGCAAUUGUUCCCCUUGAACGAGGAAUUCCCAGUAAGCGCGAGUCAUAAGCUCGCGUUGAUUACGUCCCUGCCCUUUGUACACACCGCCCGUCGCUACUACCGAUUGAAUGAUUUAGUGAGGUCUUCGGACCGAUGUCCGGCGCGGCCUUUCGGUUGCGCCGGUCUGUUGGAAAGAUGACCAAACUUGAUCAUUUAGAGGAAGUAAAAGUCGUAACAAGGUUUCCGUAGGUGAACCUGCGGAAG